rnacentral:rRNA from 1 species
CUGGAGGUAUCAGAAGUGCGAAUGCUGACAUAAGUAACGAUAAAGCGGGUGAAAAGCCCGCUCGCCGGAAGACCAAGGGUUCCUGUCCAACGUUAAUCGGGGCAGGGUGAGUCGACCCCUAAGGCGAGGCCGAAAGGCGUAGUCGAUGGGAAACGGGUUAAUAUUCCCGUACUUGGUGUUACUGCGAAGGGGGGACGGAGAAGGCUAUGUUGGCCGGGCGACGGUUGUCCCGGUUUAAGCGUGUAGGUGUGUGUUCCAGGUAAAUCCGGUUCACUUUAACACUGAGGCGUGAUGACGAGGCACUACGGUGCUGAAGCAACAAAUGCCCUGCUUCCAGGAAAAGCCUCUAAGCAUCAGGUAACAUCAAAUCGUACCCCAAACCGACACAGGUGGUCAGGUAGAGAAUACCAAGGCGCUUGAGAGAACUCGGGUGAAGGAACUAGGCAAAAUGGUGCCGUAACUUCGGGAGAAGGCACGCUGAUAUGUAGGUGAAGCGGUUUACCCGUGGAGCUGAAAUCAGUCGAAGAUACCAGCUGGCUGCAACUGUUUAUUAAAAACACAGCACUGUGCAAACACGAAAGUGGACGUAUACGGUGUGACGCCUGCCCGGUGCCGGAAGGUUAAUUGAUGGGGUCAGCGCAAGCGAAGCUCCUGAUCGAAGCCCCGGUAAACGGCGGCCGUAACUAUAACGGUCCUAAGGUAGCGAAAUUCCUUGUCGGGUAAGUUCCGACCUGCACGAAUGGCGUAAUGAUGGCCAGGCUGUCUCCACCCGAGACUCAGUGAAAUUGAACUCGCUGUGAAGAUGCAGUGUACCCGCGGCAAGACGGAAAGACCCCGUGAACCUUUACUAUAGCUUGACACUGAACAUUGAGCCUUGAUGUGUAGGAUAGGUGGGAGGCUUUGAAGUGUGGACGCCAGUCUGCAUGGAGCCGACCUUGAAAUACCACCCUUUAAUGUUUGAUGUUCUAACGUGGACCCGUGAUCCGGGUUGCGGACAGUGUCUGGUGGGUAGUUUGACUGGGGCGGUCUCCUCCUAAAGAGUAACGGAGGAGCACGAAGGUUGGCUAAUCCUGGUCGGACAUCAGGAGGUUAGUGCAAUGGCAUAAGCCAGCUUGACUGCGAGCGUGACGGCGCGAGCAGGUGCGAAAGCAGGUCAUAGUGAUCCGGUGGUUCUGAAUGGAAGGGCCAUCGCUCAACGGAUAAAAGGUACUCCGGGGAUAACAGGCUGAUACCGCCCAAGAGUUCAUAUCGACGGCGGUGUUUGGCACCUCGAUGUCGGCUCAUCACAUCCUGGGGCUGAAGUAGGUCCCAAGGGUAUGGCUGUUCGCCAUUUAAAGUGGUACGCGAGCUGGGUUUAGAACGUCGUGAGACAGUUCGGUCCCUAUCUGCCGUGGGCGCUGGAGAACUGAGGGGGGCUGCUCCUAGUACGAGAGGACCGGAGUGGACGCAUCACUGGUGUUCGGGUUGUCAUGCCAAUGGCACUGCCCGGUAGCUAAAUGCGGAAGAGA